UCUUUUAUAGCCCUUACAAAAGAAAGGACAAAUUGCAUUCGUCGGUUAGAUAUAAAUUAAACUAAACACACACAGUCCUUUCUAUUCAUUGGAUGCCCAAACAUCCGUCCCUCCUGGAAGAUAGCCAUCAAUCAAACUGUUAUCUCUAGUGCCCGUGUUUUCUUUGACUGUCUCCCAAAUGUCUCUGCAUUGCUUCCUUUUAUUUGGCUGAACGACUUCAAGCAGGAACCCCUUCAGGGCUGCUGCUGCUGCCUCCCAGGGCAACCCUUCCUUGCCCCAAAUACAUUUCAGGACUAUAGCUGUCUGCUCCUGAGCAGAGGAAAACAUUUCAAUCCUAAUCUAUCCUCUUCAGUCUCUCCUCGUUCUCCAUCCUCGUCCCAUCCGUCUCCGCUCUGGGCCUCACAAUCAGUUCCAACUCCCAGAAUUCCAUAGCUUUGAGCCAGAAAAGUGUUAAAGCGGUGCCAAACCGGGUCUUUUUCUCCAGUGUGGAUGCAGCCCUUCUAUGCCUUUACAACAAGACACACCUGGCGCAGUAACAAAGUUACUGAGCCCCAGAGGCUGGAAAAGGGCAACGGCUUCGUCUGCCACUACUGAGCAUGCGCGAAGGAUGGGCGUGACCAGAGUCUGUGACGUCUUAGGCCACGCCUCUCGUUCCGCUGGCGGCGAGCGAAGAAAACGGGGAAGUAGCGCAUGCGCUCUAUACGACACUGAAACACUUCCGCUUCCGGCAGAAGUGGCGGCAGGAUGUUGGGAGACUUAUUAUUGUUCGGGACACUGCUGGCCAAUGCAGGAGCCGUGCUGAACUUCCGGCUGUGAGUGCUGGGGUCGGGGAUUGCUCU